rnacentral:rRNA from 1 species
GAGUGGGAAGAACUUCGAGUAGAGGUGAUAGACCUACCGAGCCUAGUUAUAGCUGGUUGCCUGAGAACUGAAUAGAAGUUCAGCCCUUUGAAUUCUCCACUCCCAUUGACCUAAAACCUUCACACNNGAGUAAAGAAAUUAAAGGAGUUAGUCAAAGGGGGUACAGCCCCUUUGAAACAAGAUACAACUUUCCAAGGAGGGUAAAAAUCAUAACAAACUUAAAGGUUUUAUGUCCUAGUGGGCCUAAAAGCAGCCACCUAUUCAGAAAGCGUUAAAGCUCGAGCAUUACCUANNCAACCUUCUAAUAAAGACAAUACAAUUUCACCCCCCUAAACCUACCAGGCCAUUCCAUAAAAUUAUGGAAGCAUUUAUGCUGAUAUGAGUAAUAAGAGAACCCNACCUCUCCCCGCACAAGUGUAACUCGGAACGAACCCUUCACCGACCAUUAACGGCCCCAAAACAAAGAGGGCCCUAGGCAAAAAACAAAAAACUAGAAAAUCCCCUAGUUCCUCACCGUUAACCCCACACUGGUGUGCAAACCAGGAAAGACUAAAAGAAAAAGAAGGAACUCGGCAAACACAAGCCUCGCCUGUUUACCAAAAACAUCGCCUCUUGAACCCCUAAAU